UAUUACGGUCGGUACUGUUGUUCUCACAGCUCCCCGUUUCCCUGGACUCAAGUUAUUGUUUUUGGUCAGUCGCUGUGACAUCUAAGCCAAGCACUACAGUUCUGUCGAGGAAGUUAAUUUUAUGUACGGCUCCUUCAAAAUGAUGACAAUGAAGAAAUUAGCAUUGUAUUGGGCGAUUCUAUCCAUAUCAGCCCCCCAGACUGCCAGCAUAAACCCAGUGAAAAUGCACAAGCUGUGCCCAACCACAAUGAGAUGCCUCUAUGGCUUGAUUUUGACGUGCUUUUUCUGCGAUGGAAGAAUGGUUAAAACAUAUUGUGUACCGACCCGUGUGUCUUGCGAAUACCCUUGGCGACCGUAUUGCCACUUGCCAAUGACAGUUUCUUGCAAUGCGACUGAUACAGAGUGCGCCUGCCGUUGUGUGUCCAUAGCGAUGGUGCGGCGACAAGGAUAACGGAGAGAAAUGUUAACUGAAAAACAGCAUUCUUCGAUUGAUGCUAUCGUAGCAAAAGCUAUAUGAAUGUUUGUUCAGCACAUCAAUCGGACCUGUGGGUAUUGCAGUGUCUGUAUCAAGCACACUAUUAUCCUGUUUUCUAUGUUUUUUAUGCGUUGUUUCGUAGCUUGA
rnacentral:misc_RNA from 1 species